GCCUGGCUGGCUCAAUUGGUGGAGCAUGUGACUCUUGAUCUUGAAGUUGUGGGUUUGAGCCUCAUGGUGGGUG
rnacentral:tRNA from 1 species